CACAGGUGACAGAUAUCCCAGAUGCCAUGAUUCUGAAACAGGUCUUUGGAAACCUCUUUAGGAAUGGGGUUGUUGUAGUGGACACGUCCAACCGGCCCCCAGAGGGUAAGUAGAAUAUCUUUAUUGAGCUGGGUUCAGUACAAUCCAUAGAAGACAAUCUACACUGAUAUAACCAGGUCUAUUCCUCUCUAGUGAUCUAGCCAGGUCUAUUCCUCUCUAGUGAUCUAGCCAGGUCUAUUCCUCUCUAGUGAUCUAGCCAGGUCUAUUCCUCUCUAGUUAUCUAGACAGGUUUAUUCCUCUCUAGUGAUCUAGACAGGUCUAUUCCUUUUUACUGAUCUAGCCAGGUCUAUUCCUGUGUACUGAUCUAGACAGGUCUAUUCCUGUAUACUGAUCUAGACAGGUCUAUUCCUGUAUACUGAUCUAGACAGGUCUAGUCCUAUUUUCUAGAUUUGUACAAGAAUGGAAUACAGAGGGUCAACUUUGUGCCAUUCAUUGCUGUGUUGAAGGUAAUAAAUACAUUUCUGAUUUGUUUCUUUGGUAUAUUAGACAAAGCAUACAGCAGACAAGAGCUGUCUUACAGUAGUCUGCCCCUCUUCUCUCAUGCAGAACUAUUGCCAUGAGCUUCGGCUAGACUCUGGGAUAGACUACCGCAGGAGAAACAGAUCCUCGGGUGGAUAGCUGUACUUCCUGCUGUACUUCCUGUAAUGACUGCAUGGUGCAAACCAUGGAUACAACCAUGAAGCAUUUCAAUGCCCCACUCACUGUAUUGGGGAUUAGUAAGUGAACCUGGUGUGAAGGCAAUGUUGGACAAGAUUUCUGACAAACUGGACUUCAAACGGAACGACAGUAAGAGGCUAAUAUUGUCCUUGAGUGUAAAUGAAGAGGGGUUGGUUUGAGCUAUCCAUACAUUAUGGAUUUAUGAUAUGAACAUAAGAGGGGUUGGUUUGAGCUAUCCAUACAUUAUGGAUUUAUGAUAUGAACAUAAAAUUCUGUAUUGAUGGUUUACUUAAAAAUACCAUGAGACUCAUCGUGAUCAUCAUGUAGAGUUUUAUUACUUGUCAUUUAGCUAAACCAUUGAAAAGAAAAAGGCGCAAUUCACGCUUACCAUUACAAACUCUGUGUUUUCUUUAAGCAAAGUGUCACGUCCUGACCAGCAGAUGGAGCUGUUGUAGUAGUUUUGGGGUCAGGACGUGGCAGUCUUGUGUGUGUGAAUGUUCUGUGUUGGUCUUGUGACUCCUGAUCAGGAACAGCUGGGGAUCGUUGUUCCUGAUUGGGAGUCAUAUAUGUAGGAGUAUGUUUGUCACUUGGUUUUG
rnacentral:lncRNA from 1 species